rnacentral:tRNA from 1 species
GCGUCGAUGGUGUAAUGACACAGAGCACUCCGCCCGGUCAGCAGGAGGUGCGGGUUCGAAUCCCGCCUGGCGCU